CCUACGGGCGGCAGCAGUGAGGAAUAUUGCACAAUGGGGGAAACCCUGAUGCAGCGACGCCGCGUGAGUGAAGAAGUAUUUCGGUACGUAAAGCUCUAUCAGCAGGGAAGAAAAUGACGGUACCUGACUAAGAAGCCCCGGCUAACUACGUGCCAGCAGCCGCGGUAAUACGUAGGGGGCAAGCGUUAUCCGGAUUUACUGGGUGUAAAGGGAGCGUAGACGGCAGCGCAAGUCUGGAGUGAAAUCCCAUGGCUUAACCAUGGAACUGCUUUGGAAACUGUGCAGCUAGAGUGCAGGAGAGGUAAGCGGAAUUCCUAGUGUAGCGGUGAAAUGCGUAGAUAUUAGGAGGAACACCAGUGGCGAAGGCGGCUUACUGGACUGUAACUGACGUUGAGGCUCGAAAGCGUGGGGAGCAAACAGGAUUAGAUACCCCAGUAGUC
rnacentral:rRNA from 1 species